UAAAUUACUUUACAGUUCUGCCAUUGUAGAGGUCCUUAGGCACAGAUCUAGGAUCAGAAUACAGUAAAUGUACUGUACAGUUCUGCCAUUGUAGAGGUCCUUAGGCACAGAUCUAGGAUCAGAAUACAGUAAAUUACUGUACAGUUCUGCCAUUGUAGAGGUCCUUAGGCACAGAUCUAGGAUCAGAAUACAGUAAAUUACUGUACAGUUCUGCCAUUGUAGAGGUCCUUAGGCACAGAUCUAGGACCAGAACACAGUAAAUGUACUGUACAGUUCAGUAGAGGUUGUCCUUAGGCACAGAUCUAGGAUCAGCUUACCCAUCCCAAAACCUAACUUAAAGGGCUAUCCAGGAUUGGUACAUCCAGUUUUUUUUACUUUUAAAUGAUUGAUUUAUUGCUCUUGGUUCUUGUAGAAUAUAACUUAAAACUGCCUUGUGACCAGGUCAACAGUCGUUCCCCAUCAGUACCCCAACUAUAAGCUUGUUUUCACUCCAUUGUUUGUCCACGAUGUAAAGGUUUAAAACAUGGUUAAAAGUAUCCUGUUGAUCUCAUGGAUGGUCAGUCCUUGCAUCCAGAGAUCCAUCUGUGAUGUUGAGAGUGGUUCAAUCUAUCCAGGCCCAUCCCUCAGCUGUUAACCACAACAAGUGAUGGGAUGACCUGUUAGUUGCUUUUUAAAUCCCAGACUGCCCCUUUAAGGUUCCACCUAGAACUUGGUCUCAGAGUAACCAUGGAGAUUCAGUAGAGUCUUAAAACAAUCUAAAAAACGUCUACAUUCAAUGUUGUAUGUUUUAUAUUCUAUUCUGUUGCACUUUUACUUCGACAAGUUGUGUAUUUUAUACUUUUAAAGAACGUACCAUUUUCAUGUCCUUUAUCAACACUGUUCUGAAUGUAAGCACUUAGUGUUGUACUUGACUGUGUACUCUGUAGUGUGUGUGUGUGUGUGUGUGUGUGUGUGUGUGUAUGUGAGAGAGAGUGGGUAUGUUUCGGUAGCUUUAGCCACAAUAAAACGUUGCUACAAAUAACCUACUGUAGAUGUCUUCUUACCACACACACACGCAAACACACACACAGAAACACACACACACACACACACACACACACACACACACACACACACACACACACACACACACACACACACAUGCAAACACAAACACACACAGACAGACACACACACACACACACAUGCAAACACACACAUACACACAGACACACACAGAAACACACACACACACAUGCAAACACAA
ensembl:lncRNA